ensembl:lncRNA
CUGAAGGAGAAGUAUCUUUACUUGGAGAUUGCCUACUUUGGGAGUUUACUAGUGAGCCUGGUAUUCUCUGAACAGGGAGGAAACCCAAGGCACAGAGGAGGAGGUGAGAUACUGAGAACUGCUCCAGCAAACCAGGAAAAGAGGUCCACCAGGCAUUCCACGUGCCAGCCUGGGCUCCCUCCCUACUGUAUGGCAGCAUCACUCACAGAAAUGAUAAGGCUAAAGGAGCAAGAGGAAAGGUUGUCCAGCACCGAGCAGCUAACGGCCCUUUGUGGACUCAGACCAUCAAAGAGAAGACUACAGAAUGGGGACAGGCAUUCUUUCCAUUCCUGUCUGUCAGUGAAUAUGAGGAAAUGAGAGCAUGGGCCAGACCUCACUCCAGGUGCUGGCAGUGCUUUCGAACAUGAAAGGAUGCCAUUAAACUGCUGAACCUUAAGUGACAGCACAGAGUUCCUUUGCACAGAAACACUGUCUUCUGGCUAUGCUGACAACAUAAAAUGUUCAUGCCAUCAAGGACAAUCUGUUUCUGAGCCUUCCUUAUGAGUAUGGAGGUGUUAGCUGAACAUAAUUUAUCUGUGGCAACUUUUUCAUGGGUUCCCGUAUGGAGAGUAGAGAUUCUGGGGAAAAAGGCAAAUUACAGAUGGUGCAAUAGCAUCUUGAUGAAAGCUGUGACUUAUAUAUGGGUGUAAGAAACAGGCCGUAGAUCUUCAUCUACAUUUUAGUUCAUUCCAAACCUUGGAGAAGUUGCUUCCAUCUGACGUUUUGGUUUGGCCCCAUAUGCUACUAGAGAUCUGCCUCCAAAUGUCAUUCUCAAUCUGGAUUCAGUCUGUGAGCUGCCCGUUUUACCAGGUUAGAAUAGGAGCUUUAACCUGG